rnacentral:rRNA from 1 species
UACGGAGGGAGCUAGCGUUGUUCGGAAAUACUGGGCGUAAAGCGCACGUAGGCGGCGCAGCAAGUCAGGGGUGAAAUCCCGGGGCUCAACCCCGGAACUGCCCUUGAAACUGCAGUGCUAGAAUUCUGGAGAGGCGAGUGGAAUUCCGAGUGUAGAGGUGAAAUUCGUAGAUAUUCGGAAGAACACCAGUGGCGAAGGCG